rnacentral:rRNA from 1 species
AUUGAACGCUGGCGGCAGGCCUAACACAUGCAAGUCGAGCGAGCGGCGGACGGGUGAGUAAUGUAUGGGGACUGCACGAUAGAGGGGGAUAACUACUGGAAAAGGUGGCUAAUACCGCAUACUAUCGGAUAACCCAUAUGGGAUUAGAUAGUAGGUGGUGUAAAGGCUCACCUAGGCGACGAUCUCUAGAUGGUCUGAGAGGAUGAUCAGCAACAAGUGGACUGAGACACGGCCCAGACGCCUACGGAGGCAGCAGUGGGGAAUAUUGCACAAUGGGCGCAAGCCUGAUGCAGCCAUGCCGCGUGUAUUAAGAAGGCCGUAGGGUUGUAAAGUACUUUCAGCGGGGAGGCGUUACCCGCAGAAGAAGCACCGGCUAACUCCGUGCCAGCCGCCGCGGGAAUAC